rnacentral:lncRNA from 1 species
CGGUGCAUUAUAGAAAAAACCAAGAGACUUGGCCGGCAGAACUCUUUCAUUGUUAGGUUUUAGUCUUCCUCAACAACAUUGGAGCGUUAAUCUACUGUUAUGUAGUUAUCGGCACAUAAAAAAAAAUAUUGAGUGGGUGAUUCUGGAAUUCUAAAUGGUAGAGAAUCAGAAAUCUCCACCCACUGCUACGGUAAUGCUUCUAAAAGCUAGAAGCAUAAAAGAAGUUCCUACUUUGGACCAGUUAAAU